UGAUGGGGAUAAUUUUUUAAAGUCUCUUGUUGGCGUUUCUGUUGGCAAAUGAUUUAUUAGACCAAGUGAGGUAAAAUGUCAAGGAAUAGAUUUUCUUUUCAUGAAAUAUCAGAAUCCAUCAGAGCUGAUAAUGCUGAGUCUAAUUGUGACAGCUCUCCUGUUGGAACAGCCUCACCUGGUGCUGCAAGUGGGGGCAGGAUAAUCACGCACUCAUAGCCAGAAGAGCUACUGAGGAUGCUUAAACUCAGCUUGAGGUUAAUGACGGCAUCAAGGGAGGAAAAAGGGACUGCACUGGAGAAGCGCACUGAACAUCUCCACACUGUGCACAUACUUUUAGGACAAAAUCCCCUACUUUGUAUGCAGCACCUGUGAAGAAGCAGGCACAAUCAGCAGUCAGAGCUGAAGGCUUAGCUGCACCCCUCUUCAGAACGAACAGAACAAUCACUGCAGUCAGAAAGUCAGUGAAGAAGAAGCUUUGAAUGGUGGUGUAAGUGAACCAGUCGUAGCAGACAGUGGGCGCACUCUCCAGCUGGCACCAUGCUCCUCAUAGGAACCAUACUCUCCGUGGGACCAUUCCCAGAGCCUCCCAACUGCCUAGGUGGAAUCUGAAGCCAGCUGGCAGGGACUUUGGGUCCUGAAUUGUCCUAUGCAGCGCUGAGCGUGAGCAGAAGGACUGGCCUGCCUUUGAAGAUGAUCUUUCUAUAAAGCCAUCAGUGCUGCUGCCAUCAGUGAACUAUGUAAACUUAAACAAGAACCAGACAGCGCAACCUCUGUAGUGUUCCCAGCACAGAACCAAAAGUAAACAUAUUCACUUUGUAUUUAUUGUAAAACUGCUGACUUGAGCUAAAAAAACAGCUGCUGGCCUUGUUUCUGAAACCCCCACACCGUCCCCUCAUCACCGCGCCCACGCUUUACGGAGCUGCAUCUCCCUUGGCUGACAUUUUCUGCCAAUAGGAAGUGAGAAAUUUGAACGCGAAGAGCGGAACCCAGCAGCGUGGCUGACAUCAACUGACCUAUAUACAUCGUUUCUUUGUAAAUACCACCCACCUUUAUCUAGAGGAGGGGGUAGGAGACGGUGAAACGUUGUCUGGAUCAUUUUUCUUUCCUUUGGACAGGCCAGCUGUGUUAGUAAGUGCGAAUUUUCUGCUGGACAGAACAGCAAUAACAACCACUGAGAGCUUAGAGACCUUCUUCUCCGCAGGUCCCGCAACUUAUACCAUGGUUCUGCUGUCCGUAGUUCUGCUUCCCACGGCUUCGGUUACGCAGGGUCAGCUCUGUAGUUCCAGAAUAGAGCACUUUGGAAGUGGCCUGUUCCUUGGUUUGCAUUCUGUGCUUUCCUGACCCCGGGGCUGGAGUGCCGCGCCAUCCCACUCCUUUCCCUGAGCCAGGAAUCAUCCUUCUGCCUGUGCACCUGUGGUGUACCUGCUGGCCACCAGUGAGCCACUUAGCAGCCACCUCAGUACUAGACUGACCACCAGGGCAACAUGGUGCUUGUGAUCAGGCGACCUCACUGUAUUUUACUUAAUAAUCACCCCAAAGCACCACAGUACUGACUGAUGCUGGCUUUCAGAUGGGCCAAAGAAAGCCUUUUAAAAAGUGAAGAUAAGAAAAUUCUUGACUUAACAGGGGAAGAAAAAGAUCAUAGCUUGGGUUGGACGGCAGGAAUGAAUCUUCUGUCCAUGAAGCGGUGGAGGAGGAGAACUCCAGCAAUGCUGUGUUUUGUUGUUUGUGUUGCACCUCAAGACACAAAAGUAGUGACCAGAGUGCAUGAGUAUUUACUAAGGACAGAAACACAGAUACACGUGAAUCCUGGCAUUGUGUAUGUUUUCACUCAUCCACUCAAUGUACCCCCAGUGUAGGAGGGAGAAUGAUUACGUAUGCAUGAAAGCUUAUUUACAUACGCAGAGGCUAGAUGACUUUCUCAAGUGUGCGAGUCCAGGCUUGUAGGUCAAAGGGCGCCUGUUUCCUGAUCUCUAACAGCGCUCUUCAUGCCCUCUCCCUUGGUCUUAGAACCAGACACUCACUGCUGGGCUAGUGAAGGUUGGGGAGUUUCGUUUCAGGAGGACCCCUCAGAAUAAAGCUCAUUCGUAUCACCCCAGGGGUUACAGGACAGCUGUUUAAUGAGCAUUGCUCUCUGUCUAAAUACUUCCUCCCCUGUGUGAUUGUAGUCAGGAACUCCAGACAUAAAGUCCUGUGCAAAUUCACAAAUUCUCCAGACUUCUCACUUUAGUAACAACAGCUCCAAAAUAGUCUCAGAGGCUUGUUCCUCACCCACUUCUGGAAUUGUCUCUCAUGCCUAUGCUGCUACAAAAGAGCUCCAAGCCCAGGAAGCUGCAUCCCCAAGCCAGUCCAGAGUCACCUUUUGUUCACUCUUUCUAAAUAAGCGAGCAACUCACAGCCUCAAAAUUUCACCAAGUCCUCCAUGCUGCCAGGAGACUGACAGGAACCUUGAGCACAGUCACUUUCUGCUUUGUCCUCUUGUCCCUACAGAGAGGGUGGCUCUGCCAGCUGGAUUGGAAACCAGUGUGUGUAGCCCAAGAAGAGACCCCGCCAUGUGAAGCAAUCACAUGUCUGCGGUAGAGAGCCUCUUGGUUACUUUUCUCUCAUUGCUGAGUCAAAAUACCCAACACUCAAAAUUAAAGAAGGAAAGAUUUAUUUGGCUCACAGUUGUGGAGCUUUCAGUAUAUAAUCAACUGACUGCAAGGCAGGGUGGCACAGUACAGGGGCAGCACUUCAAGGCAGCAGAAGACAGCAAAGAGCAGAAGGCAGGAGGCAGUCUGUAUUCCUCCCUUCUAUUGUAAUCAGUUACGCAGCCACAUCCUCUCCAUGCCCUCCUCCUACACAGGCUCUGGAUGUUUGCAAAAUGAGGACCCUGACUUCCUGCUAAGCCUCCUAGUUAAGCUUCUAAACUUCUCUGUCCUCAGGUUGACACAAAGAAUCAACCAUUACACUGAAAGAGACAUUUUGGGGAAAACAAUACUAAAAACACUUUGGUUUUAUACAAUCUCCAUCUCACCCACUUUGCAUCAGUCUAGACCUAAAUAAUGAAGUCAGGCACUUGGCAAUCAUGAACAACCAACAUUUACAGUGCACUCUGUUGCACAGCUCUGAAGUUUGGUGAGUUAGGUAGCCUCAGUGCAUUUUCAGCUCAGGGUAUGUCCAGUUUAUGAUGGAUUUAUCAGGACACAAGCUGGAUAGUAAAUCCAGCAGCAUCUAUAUUUCCAGGGAAAUUCUUUCCUCAUAGUCCAUGUCGUGAAAGGAAACAGUAACACAGAGAAGAGAAAUAGCCAGCCUGAACGUAACCCCCUCUCCUUAUUCAUGGGAGAGUAUCAUAAUCACCUGUAGACCUCGACUGUCUGUGUGUUUGUCCACAGAUGCCUCAGCAGAGCUCCAUGGGACCAAGUAGAGGUGUUGUGCAAGACCACCUGGCACUGCCACCUUGGCAAAAAUGAAUGAAAGUCCACAUGCAAUUGGGAGCAGAUGGCCUUGCAUUUGUAUCCAGAGUCAACUUAUUACUGUAUCACCUAGAGAGAAACACGACAUCUCUAAGCCCUGAUUUUUUCUUUGUGACGUUGGAAUGAUAUGUCAGAGAGCUGACAUGAAGGUUACAUAAUGAUGUGUUAGGGAAAUUAAUCUGAGGAUGAUUCAUAAAAUGAUGCGAUGGAAGUUAUUCUCCUUGCAAUUUAAGCUCCAUGAAAUCUGGAAUAGAAUUUGUCUAUUUGUUUCUUUUUACUACUGCUGUAUUAAGAUAUAGACAUAAACUAGGUACAAAUGCACUUUUCUUUAAGUGAAAGUCUGGACUGUAAGCCUGACUGCCAUCCAAGCCAUAAAGGACCCAUACCCUUACCAUUUUGUUGCUUAGCCAUUUUUAGGGAGUUUUCAGGACUGGUCCACAAUGAGACUUUGCAUGUCACUUAUCUGCCACCUGGAAAGGGAACCAAGCAAGGACCUGACAUGCUCCUUGAAAUGCAUGUUCCAGAUCACUGAUGCAUUAUUCUGCUGCCACAACCCAGUCAUUCAACCUUACUUAGCUGCAAGAGAUCCUGGAAUAUGUGGUCUGCAUCUGAGUCAUUUGUUCAAUAAUAAAUGUUCUAUUUCAAAAUAAACACAAAGCAAAAAGGAGAAAAUAUGCUGGGGACAACCAGACAUCUCUGCCAUAAAUAUAAUGAUAAGCACAGUAAUAUUGGCCCAGAAAAAUGCAACUAAUACAUUAUUAUUAUAUUACUAUUUUUCUUAAAAAAUCAAUAUUUAAGACUCUCAGAAAUUCUAUCUCAAGCAAAGUUUUGGAAUUGUUUCACCUCAUCCAUCUCAGAUUACCCAAGGCUAAGGACGUAAAAUGGAUACAGGCAUCAAGCAUCUUAGCACAUACCAUUCAGUGUCCUUUAGCACCUUCGCAGUAUUAUAAAACCGUAACCUGCAUCUGGCUUCAGAGUAUUUUCAUAGCUCCAAGGAGGCUGUGCCCUGAUUCAGAAGGUGACUUCUAGUAUGGGCUCUCCUUAGCCCCAGCGAUCACCACUAGUCUGUUUUCUGUGUCUGUGGAUGUACCUAUUCUGAAUGUGUCAAUUAAAUGAAGUCUUAUAGUGUAUGAUAUUUUGAAUCUGGCUUAUCUGGUGUAGCAUUUCAAUAUAUUAAUUUUUAAACUCAGCAACCAACCAGCUCAAUUUAAAAAUAAAAAUGUACAAAUGACUCAAAUAGA